CCUACGGGUGGCAGCAGUGGGGAAUAUUGCACAAUGGGCGCAAGCCUGAUGCAGCCAUGCCGCGUGUGUGAAGAAGGCCUUCGGGUUGUAAAGCACUUUCAGCGGGGAGGAAGGCGUUAAGGUUAAUAACCUUGGCGAUUGACGUUACCCGCAGAAGAAGCACCGGCUAACUCCGGUGCCAGCAGCCGCGGUAAUACGGAGGGUGCAAGCGUUAAUCGGAAUUACUGGGCGUAAAGCGCACGCAGGCGGUCUGUCAAGUCGGAUGUGAAAUCCCCGGGCUCAACCUGGGAACUGCAUUCGAAACUGGCAGGCUAGAGUCUUGUAGAGGGGGGUAGAAUUCCAGGUGUAGCGGUGAAAUGCGUAGAGAUCUGGAGGAAUACCGGUGGCGAAGGCGGCCCCCUGGACAAAGACUGACGCUCAGGUGCGAAAGCGUGGGGAGCAAACAGGAUUAGAUACCCCGGUAGUC
rnacentral:rRNA from 1 species